UACGGAGGAUCCAAGCGUUAUCCGGAAUCAUUGGGUUUAAAGGGUCCGUAGGCGGUUUGGUAAGUCAGUGGUGAAAGCCCAUCGCUCAACGGUGGAACGGCCAUUGAUACUGCCAGACUUGAAUUAUUAGGAAGUAACUAGAAUAUGUAGUGUAGCGGUGAAUGCUUAGAGAUUACAUGGAAUACCAAUUGCGAAGGCAGGUUACUACUAAUGGAUUGACGCUGAUGGACGAAGCGUGGUAGCGAACAGG
rnacentral:rRNA from 1 species